UGACACUGUCAAAGCAAGGAUACACCAACCUAGUGAAUGCCCUGUUCAGUGAAUAUCCACACAUUGGAGACCCUAAAUGUUGGAGGAUGUCCCUUCGUACCAAGAUGAAAAAUAUUCGAAUGCCAUUAGAAUUGAAUAGUGUGCAAUUUCUUUAAAAAAAAAAUGGUUUCCUAGGGACAGGAGGUCGUAAGAGGGUUGCAGAAACAGUGGAUGAAGAAAGGGAGGCCUGUAAGAAAAGACAGAAACUUAAGAUUGAUUUAGAAGGACCUGGGGAUGAUGAAGUGACUACACUCAGCCACAUAGAUAUUUUAAAGGCUGAAUAUAAAAAAAGAUCACCUGAUCUUGCUAUGAUUGCAAGAAAAAUGGAGAGGACAUUUGCCUUCAGAUGGAAGAAGAUCAACGAUCCAAAUUUGUCUGUGGAAGACAUCCUCUUAGAUUUUCCAGCUCUAAGGGAAAGAAAUUUUAUUUCUGCGCACGGUUUGCUUUGCAGCUUCUGCCAUCACUUUUAAAGAGAAUGAAGAAUAUCUUCUAGUUCAUUCACA